UACGUAGGGUGCGAGCGUUGUCCGGAAUUAUUGGGCGUAAAGCGCACGUAGGCGGUUCGUUAAGUCGGAUGUGAAAGCCCUCGGCUCAACCUCGGAACUGCCUUCGAUACUGGCGAUCUUUGAGUCCGGGAGAGGUGAGUGGAACUCCGAGUGUAGAGGUGAAAUUCGUAGAUAUUCGGAAGAACACCAGUGGCGAAGGCGGCUCACUGGCCCGGUACUGACGCUCAGGUGCGAAAGCGUGGGGAGCAAACAGG
rnacentral:rRNA from 1 species